UAUUCUUUAUCUAAUUAUUUUCCAGAAGCACUUUUACUGAGCACCCACCAAGUCAAAAGGAGCAUUUCAAGUGCUCUGGAACCUUCUGCUUUCAUUUACUAAUAAUCCUCAAACAGAAUGUCUGCUUCCGACAUUGGCUUCUGAAAUAGAACAGAAUCUUAAUUAGCUCAUGAGAAACUCCUACUUAAGUAGUCUUAGAGCAAAUGGACUCAUUUCCUUCUCUAAUAGAUCCUCCUGUUGUUUGACUGUGAUGAGAAUGGUCUUUUAAAAGAGGCCUCAGGUGUGAAACCAACUGUUCAGGCUCAUUGUCAGCUGCCGGCUCCUAGAGUAUUAAUUCAAAAUUAGCGAAAAUAUAAGACUAUGUCUACAUUGGCCAACUCUACUGCAAAAUUGAGCAAUUUUCAGUUAAGGGUGCAGCAUCCUCUACAAUGCCCUUGAGGAAGAUUCAGAAGCUCAUUCUACUUCCAUCUGCUUCCAUCAUUAGAGAAAGAAGUUGAUUAAUUCAACCUCUCUAACAAUAAGAACGGAUGCUGUUAAACUAAAAGGGUGGUGGUGAUCCAACUUCAUUCACGGUAGAUGAGAAACUCCUGGGGGGAUGGCAGAAAAACAGAAAGUAUUUUGCAGGAAGAAGAGCCUUCUCAUGGGAAAGUUGUUGAAUUUGGUCCGAAUAAACAGGGUUUGCCUGUGCAGCGAUGGUUUUUUGGGAGAAGGUUUUUCUGUUAUUUGUAUUAGCUGAUCUUCAUCAUAAUAAAAUGACCUUGGAUGGGUAACUUUUCUGACUUAGACUGGCGUGGAUAAUAACUGAGAAUUUCUAAGUACCCUAUCUAUUGCUCAAUUGUGAAGAGC